rnacentral:tRNA from 1 species
AACUAAACUAGGGAGCUUGCAAAUAGCACUUGACUUUUAAUCAAGAGAUAAUACUUAUAUUCCUAAUUA